AGCGAACGCUGGCGGCAGGCCUAACACAUGCAAGUCGAACGAACCUUUCGGGGUUAGUGGCGGACGGGUGAGUAACACGUGGGAACGUGCCUUUAGGUUCGGAAUAACUCAGGGAAACUUGUGCUAAUACCGAAUGUGCCCUUCGGGGGAAAGAUUAAUCGCUUUUAGAGCGGCCCGCGUCUGAUUAGCUAGUUGGUUGAGGUAAUGGCUCACCAAGGCGACGAUCAGUAGCUGGUCUGAGAGGAUGAUCAGCCACAUUGGGACUGAGACACGGCCCAAACUCCUACGGGAGGCAGCAGUGGGGAAUCUUGCGCAAUGGGCGAAAGCCUGACGCAGCCAUGCCGCGUGAAUGAUGAAGGUCUUAGGAUUGUAAAAUUCUUUCACCGGGGACGAUAAUGACGGUACCCGGAGAAGAAGCCCCGGCUAACUUCGUG
rnacentral:rRNA from 1 species